UACGUAGGGGGCGAGCGUUGUCCGGAAUCAUUGGGCGUAAAGAGCGUGUAGGCGGCCCGAUAAGUCCGCCGUGAAAGUCCAGGGCUACAACCCGUGGAAUGCCGGUGGAAACUGUCGGGCUGGAGUCCGGAAGAAGGCGAGUGGAAGUUCCUGGGUGUGAGCGGUGAAAUGCGCAGAUAUCAGGAAGAACACCCGUGGCGAAGGCGGCUUUCUGGGACGGUACUGACGCUGGAGACGCGAAAGCGUGGGGAGCGAACAGG
rnacentral:rRNA from 1 species